CCUUUUGUAUAAUGGGUCAGCGACUUAUAUUCUGUAGCAAGGUUAACCGAAUAGGGGAGCCGAAGGGAAACCGAGUCUUAACUGGGCGUUAAGUUGCAGGGUAUAGACCCGAAACCCGGUGAUCUAGCCAUGGGCAGGUUGAAGGUUGGGUAACACUAACUGGAGGACCGAACCGACUAAUGUUGAAAAAUUAGCGGAUGACUUGUGGCUGGGGGUGAAAGGCCAAUCAAACCGGGAGAUAGCUGGUUCUCCCCGAAAGCUAUUUAGGUAGCGCCUCGUGAACUCAUCUCCGGGGGUAGAGCACUGUUUCGGCAAGGGGGUCAUCCCGACUUACCAACCCGAUGCAAACUGCGAAUACCGGAGAAUGUUAUCACGGGAGACACACGGCGGGUGCUAACGUCCGUCGUGAAGAGGGAAACAACCCAGACCGCCAGCUAAGGUCCCAAAGUCAUGGUUAAGUGGGAAACGAUGUGGGAAGGCCCAGACAGCCAGGAUGUUGGCUUAGAAGCAGCCAUCAUUUAAAGAAAGCGUAAUAGCUCACUGGUCGAGUCGGCCUGCGCGGAAGAUGUAACGGGGCUAAACCAUGCACCGAAGCUGCGGCAGCGACGCUUAUGCGUUGUUGGGUAGGGGAGCGUUCUGUAAGCCUGUGAAGGUGUGCUGUGAGGCAUGCUGGAGGUAUCAGAAGUGCGAAUGCUGACAUAAGUAACGAUAAAGCGGGUGAAAAGCCCGCUCGCCGGAAGACCAAGGGUUCCUGUCCAACGUUAAUCGGGGCAGGGUGAGUCGACCCCUAAGGCGAGGCCGAAAGGCGUAGUCGAUGGGAAACAGGUUAAUAUUCCUGUACUUGGUGUUACUGCGAAGGGGGGACGGAGAAGGCUAUGUUGGCCGGGCGACGGUUGUCCCGGUUUAAGCGUGUAGGCUGGUUUUCCAGGCAAAUCCGGAAAAUCAAGGCUGAGGCGUGAUGACGAGGCACUACGGUGCUGAAGCAACAAAUGCCCUGCUUCCAGGAAAAGCCUCUAAGCAUCAGGUAACAUCAAAUCGUACCCCAAACCGACACAGGUGGUCAGGUAGAGAAUACCAAGGCGCUUGAGAGAACUCGGGUGAAGGAACUAGGCAAAAUGGUGCCGUAACUUCGGGAGAAGGCACGCUGAUAUGUAGGUGAAGUCCCUUGCGGAUGGAGCUGAAAUCAGUCGAAGAUACCAGCUGGCUGCAACUGUUUAUUAAAAACACAGCACUGUGCAAACACGAAAGUGGACGUAUACGGUGUGACGCCUGCCCGGUGCCGGAAGGUUAAUUGAUGGGGUCAGCGCAAGCGAAGCUCUUGAUCGAAGCCCCGGUAAACGGCGGCCGUAACUAUAACGGUCCUAAGGUAGCGAAAUUCCUUGUCGGGUAAGUUCCGACCUGCACGAAUGGCGUAAUGAUGGCCAGGCUGUCUCCACCCGAGACUCAGUGAAAUUGAACUCGCUGUGAAGAUGCAGUGUACCCGCGGCAAGACGGAAAGACCCCGUGAACCUUUACUAUAGCUUGACACUGAACAUUGAGCCUUGAUGUGUAGGAUAGGUGGGAGGCUUUGAAGUGUGGACGCCAGUCUGCAUGGAGCCGACCUUGAAAUACCACCCUUUAAUGUUUGAUGUUCUAACGUUGACCCGUAAUCCGGGUUGCGGACAGUGUCUGGUGGGUAGUUUGACUGGGGCGGUCUCCUCCUAAAGAGUAACGGAGGAGCACGAAGGUUGGCUAAUCCUGGUCGGACAUCAGGAGGUUAGUGCAAUGGCAUAAGCCAGCUUGACUGCGAGCGUGACGGCGCGAGCAGGUGCGAAAGCAGGUCAUAGUGAUCCGGUGGUUCUGAAUGGAAGGGCCAUCGCUCAACGGAUAAAAGGUACUCCGGGGAUAACAGGCUGAUACCGCCCAAGAGUUCAUAUCGACGGCGGUGUUUGGCACCUCGAUGUCGGCUCAUCACAUCCUGGGGCUGAAGUAGGUCCCAAGGGUAUGGCUGUUCGCCAUUUAAAGUGGUACGCGAGCUGGGUUUAGAACGUCGUGAGACAGUUCGGUCCCUAUCUGCCGUGGGCGCUGGAGAACUGAGGGGGGCUGCUCCUAGUACGAGAGGACCGGAGUGGACGCAUCACUGGUGUUCGGGUUGUCAUGCCAAUGGCACUGCCCGGUAGCUAAAUGCGGAAGAGAUAAGUGCUGAAAGCAUCUAAGCACGAAACUUGCC
rnacentral:rRNA from 1 species